AACACUUCUUGGUCUUUUGGCUAAGAUCAAGUGUAUUAUCUGUUCUUAUCUGUUUAGUAUCUGAUAAUGUCCUCGAUCCAAGGACAAUAUAUUCAAUGGAUUUUUGGAACGGGGAGGUGGAAUAGAAGCUUGCUCCAUCCGCUCCACAUAUUGACCUGGAAUUACAGUAUUUCCAGGAACAGUGCAGAAAAA
rnacentral:snRNA from 1 species